rnacentral:tRNA from 1 species
GAGGGGUGGCAGAGUGGUCGAAUGCGGCGGUCUUGAAAACCGUUGAAGCGAAAGCUUCCGGGGGUUCGAAUCCCUCCCCCUCC